rnacentral:rRNA from 1 species
UGCAGUCGAACGGCAGCACAGUAUGUAGCAAUACAUAUGGGUGGCGAGUGGCGGACGGGUGAGUAACACGUAGGAAUCUGCCCUAGAGAGGGGGACAACCCGAGGAAACUCGGGCUAAUACCGCAUAAUCUCUGAGGAGAAAAGCUGGGUAGCAAUACCUGGCGCUUUAGGAGGAGCCCGCGUCCGAUUAGCUAGUUGGUGGGGUAAAGGCCUACCAAGGCGAUGAUCGGUAGCUGGUCUGAGAGGAUGACCAGCCACACUGGGACUGAGACACGGCCCAGACUCCUACGGGAGGCAGCAGUGGGGAAUAUUGGACAAUGGGGGCAACCCUGAUCCAGCAAUGCCGCGUGUGUGAAGAAGGCCUUCGGGUUGUAAAGCACUUUAGUUGGGGAGGAAGAUGAUUAGUUUAAGAGAUGAAUCAUUUGACUGUACCCAAAGAAUAAGCACCGGCUAACUCUGUGCCAGCAGCCGCGGUAAUACAGAGGGUGCGAGCGUUAAUCGGAAUUACUGGGCGUAAAGGGCGCGUAGGCGGUUAUUUAAGUUGGAUGUGAAAUCCCUGGGCUUAACCUAGGAACUGCAUUCAAUACUGAAUGACUAGAGUGCUGUAGAGGAUAGUGGAAUUUCCUGUGUAGCGGUGAAAUGCGUAGAUAUCGGAAGGAACACCAGUGGCGAAGCGGCUAUCUGGACAGACACUGACGCUGAGCGCGAGAGCGUGGGGAGCAAACAGGAUUAGAUACCCUUAGUCCACGCUGUAAACGAUGAAACUAGAUGUUGGUAGGGCAUGACCUAUUAGUAUUGAAGCUAACGCGAUAAGUUCUCCGCCUGGGGAUACCGCAAGGAAAACUCAAGAUGGGGGGCCCGCACAGCGGUGGA